ACUCUUUCUCUCUCUCUCUUGUUUUUCAUCUGCGACGAUCGACCUUCGCAAUCGACUCUCUCUCUCCGACAACUCUGAGUACAGUUUGAAUGGAGGAUACUAUUGAAUCUCUCGCAAUGAAUCUUUUACCUCCGGAAUCCUCUAAUUCUCAAAUGAAUUCCCCCUUGGAACUUGGAUGUGAUUCAUGAUGACAGAGUUUGAGAUAGUGUUGCUUGGAUGAAUGUUUUUAUUUUAUUGAACAACAAUUUUAUUUUAUUUUGUUCUUGCAUUUUGGAUGAAUGUAAUAGUUAAUGAAACAACAAUUUUAUUUUUAUUUUUUUCAUUUUAUUAUUACAUUUUAGAUGAACGUAAUAGUUAAUGAAGAAUUACUUUUAGGUAAGCUUAGAAAUUUGAAUGAUUUUAUUUUAAUUUUGUAUUAUUGGGUAGUAGUAGAUGGAGAAUGUUGAGAAAGUAGUUGUAGAAUGAGAUUGAUGAUUUAGUUAGGAUUUUGAAUGAUUUUAUUUUAAUUGUAUUGUUGGGUAGUA